AAAAUCUAUCUUUUGUAAAUUGCCCAGUCUCAGGUUGCUCACACUGAAACCCAGCUCCCUUUCCCCUGGUGCAAAGAACGGUGGUUUCUCCAAAACUGAAGUCGGACAUUAUCUGAAGUAUCAGAUCCUCCAGAAAAGGGACCCGAAGCCCUCUUUGUAAUUUCUGCAUUAGUGUUGCUCUCCUGACAAGCAGGAAGUCAGCCAAGGAGUGUCUUUAAAUGGAAGCUGUGCACACGAGGAGCAAAUGCAUUAAAAAGUUGCUGACGGGCAUGAAAUGCUUUGAUGUGAAGAUGGAAAACUCCAAGCAGGAAGGAUUUUAAGCUUUUUUGAGUCUGAUUGACUCUGUGGUUUCUCAGCACAGUUAUUCCAUGGGCUAAAAUAAAUGCAGAAAUGGUAUUUUGAGAUCACAGCUGCAGAGGGGAUUGUGGUGAAUUUCAAUGAAAAUCCAGUCGAAUCUUGAGGUUCAGAGCUUAAAAAAGGAAAGGACAUGAGGGAAGUAAUACUGUUGCUUGAAAUUCAUUGCUUUUGUCCAAAAGAAACUCCCCUUUAUUUUUAGGAGAAAUGUCAAAUCUUUGCAGUGUGGUAGAUGCUCCCACAAACGUUUCUUCCCAGAUAGGAGAUAAAUGUUGGAAAGAAGCAAUUUACUGAGUAUGCUGAUAGAGAUGAAGUUCAGAGACAGGCAAGCUUACACAAAAGUAAUGAUGUUUUACAUUUUAUCUUUACAAAUGAGUUUCUUAUAGUGGUCAAUGGCAAACAGUUUCAUACAAAGCUUGCUUCAAUAGGCAAUGGUUUGGUGCCAAUAUGUUAGCUAUUUACUUUGACCACCGUAUGCAUGAAGGAGAAUAAAAAUUAAGAAUACUCAAGCGGAACCUCCAACAUAAAUAUCAUUUUCCACAAAAAGUGAUAUAGGGAUAGACUAAGGUUAAAUGGGACCAGAUAUAUGAAGAGAUCUCAGAAAUGUUUGCACAAUAAUGCAGAUACUCAUUUUAAAUAGAGUUUUAAUGAGGAAUUAAACAAAGUAGAAUAAAAUCCUGAGCAAGAAUGUGUCCUUCUGAGAAUCUGGAUUUUGAAUUCUGGCUCCACAGAACUUGUCAGAUAUAUGACAUUAAACAAGAUACUUCAAA